UACGUAGGGUCCGAGCGUUGUCCGGAAUUAUUGGGCGUAAAGGGCUCGUAGGCGGUUUGUCACGUCGGGAGUGAAAUCUUACAGCUUAACUGUGAACUUGCUUUCGAUACGGGCAGACUUGAGGCAUUCAGGGGAGAACGGAAUUCCUGGUGUAGCGGUGAAGUGCGAAGAUAUCAGGAGGAACACAGGUGGCGAAGGCGGUUCUCUGGGAAUGUACUGACGCUGAGGAGCGAAAGUGUGGGGAGCGAACAGG
rnacentral:rRNA from 1 species